rnacentral:rRNA from 1 species
GAUUAUGGUGCAUACCACACUGACAACGCCCGAUCUCGUUGAUCUCGGAAGCUAAGCAGAGUUGGGCUAGGUCAGUACUUGGAUGGGUGACCGCCUGGGAAUACCCGGUGCUGUAAGCA